UACGGAGGAUGCAAGCGUUAUCCGGAUUCAUUGGGUUUAAAGGGUGCGCAGGUGGAGAGAUAAGUCAGUGGUGAAAAACUGCCGCUCAACGGUAGUCUUGCCAUUGAUACUGUCUUUCUUGAGUAUGGAUGAGGUAGGCGGAAUGUGCAGUGUAGCGGUGAAAUGCAUAGAUAUUGCACGGAACACCAAUUGCGAAGGCAGCUUACUGGACCAUUACUGACGCUCAGGCACGAAAGCGUGGGGAU
rnacentral:rRNA from 1 species